ensembl:lncRNA
CAGGCCCCCACUGUUGCUCUCCCUCGCUCCCGAAAGGACAAGCUGCCUGCAGUCGGUGCAAUCAUCGCCAGGCUGACAGUCUUCUGAAGACCACAGCUGCGCAUGAAAGACACUGUUAUGCUUACAACAAAAGGCAGAGAUAUGGAAAAAUUGCAAUUCAUGACUUGGCCGGACCCGGAGAAAAUGUGUAGGAAAUGAGCCCGGACCCGUAGGGACUGCAGCUGUGACAUCAUCAGCCUCCCACCUGCCUCCACAGCUAAGCUCUUCAUUAAGAGCCCCCUCAUAUCCGCCCUGAAGGGGCACGAGGGCAAGAAGCCUGCCUAACCCCACAGCCAGGUCCUCUCACAUCCAUCCAAAGAGGUGGGACCCUAGGGAGUCAUCCAACCCCUCAGCCAGGACGAGGGCGGGUGGCGUGUGGCGGGGAGGGAGGCAGUGCUCGAGCGCGUGGAGAGGAGGCCACUCUGCGGGGUCAUCCGCGGCUGAUUACUGCCGAGACGUGAGCGUCAGGAGCUAAUGACAGGCACCCGGGGAGGGUGCCAGAUGGUCCUGUCGUCCCUGACGCCACAGGGGCUCCCUGGCAACGGCUGCCGUGGAAACGUUUCAGCACACUUCAGUGGCACUUCCCUUUCACCUCUGUGGAGUGACAGAGGCAGCUAGAGGCAGGGGAGGCAGGGGAGGCACGCCCAGUGAUGGGGAGUGACAGAGGCGGCUGGAGGGGUGAGGAUGUCCCUCAUAGGCACCACUACUUCUUGUUCAUGUCAUUUUGGAGAUGUGUGACACCCACACCCUCUGUAAGGGGGGACCUAUCAGAUCACAAAAGAAGCCCUGUGCUCUACUGGGGAGGUCUGGGGAGGGAGAUAGGACACGAGGAGGUGUUUGUGUGUAUGUGUGUUUGUGUGUGUGUGUGUGUGUGUGUGUGUGGGUGUAUGUGUGUGUGUGUCUGUGUGUGUGUUUGUGUGUGUGAGUGCGUGUGUGUGUGGAGCACUAUGUCUCCGAGCUCCCCUGAGCACAGUGGAGAGUGAUGCAUUAUGGGUCUGGUAAUGAACUGCUAACAAUAAUGAGGGUGAUUAUUGCUGCCAUUAUCCAUGCUCUUUAUUCUGUACGCAAUGUCAAAUAAAAAUGGUGCCUUGAUGGCCGGAUGAAAAUGUUUCAUUUCAGAGGAAAACAAAGUUUUUUGAUGGCUCUCUAAAGGCUUCUGGCCUCUAUUGACAUUGUGUGCAGUUAUUUCAUGCUGUGAGUGAAAUGAAAACACACACACACAUACACACACA